ACAAUGUAGAAGUCGUCACUAAAUCCUUGCGCUCGAUGGCUGCUUGGCAGAACUUGUCUAGGGUCAAGCUCGUCUGUGAGAGUACAUGUUCUUGCUGUUGUGAAGUCUGACAACCCAAUGCAGGUCACUUGAAGGGGCACCUUCUUUAAAAAGAAAAAUGACUAAAUGAGGAGGGAACAAUGGCUGAACAAACUCAAGCAUAAAGUCAAAGCGGGGCCGACUGCUUACACUGGCCCGGCCCGCACAAUGUGCUAAUCUGUUGAAGUCGGGACAAAAUAAAACAAACCCCCUGAAGGGUUGCCACGGGACUUUGAUUGUACGCCGAGAAGAAAAAAAAAAGGAUUUGAGAUAUGAUGCUGCGGUAAAUCCACAAAUCUCUGCAGAUGUUGGAUAUCAAGUUGGAAACAGUUUUAAGUUGGUGACUAUUUUGGUCCGGGAGGGACUUUCUGGAUGGAAUGAGUCGGGCAUCAUGCGUUGGAAUCUUGGAGAAGUGGGAUCUGAGUCCCCAAACCUGUGAUUUCCACGGAAGCUCACCGCAACAUUCUCUGAAAGCGAUGCCGUCUAAGUUGGAAGUCACGUUGCCAUCCCAGUGUUUUUGGAAACCUCCCAUUCUUCUCUGGCUGGCUACGGUACACAACGCAGGAAAGAUCCAGUUUCAGAUUACGCGGGGGCUUCACCUCGGUGAGCUAGUCUACACGAUAACACGGUGUAAUACAGUGUGAGUUUCCCUUUCAGCCCAAGCCUGGCACGUCAGCUCUGACUGUAACACAUCUCCCAACGGGGUAUACCAGACCGGCAGAUAGAGAGUGAGAGAGAGUCCAUAAGCCGCACGACUUCUGAAUGAUUGAUCGGCCCCAAUCAUUUAUUCAAUGACUCAUUUAAGCAUUGUUUAAUCAUUAAUUCCAGACACAUCCCUUGUUUGCCGACACAAUUUGCAGCGGUGAGGGGCUAUUACUGCCAUUGGGGGGAACCUGACCAGCCAGUGACGCGCUGGGCCCCAUGUUUAGAUCUCUCUCUCUCUGUUGCUACUCAAUUUUUUAAUCAAGUAGGCUGGUUUUGAAUUACCAUCCCUUUUGACCUAUGUGUGUAGGGCUUCUUGACACAUUUAUUUGGACACCACAUUCUAUCACCAAAUAUUCACCCGUUCAGAUCAUUUGCACUGCAGUCAUGUUUGAGGUGUGUGCUUUUGUUCAACAGGGGUACACAUGAGUAGACCUCUUGUGUAUUCAUGUUCAUGAAUUAACAAAACCCACACCUCAAAGAUGGCAGCUGAGUGCAAUCCGUCUAUAAAGCCAUACAAUGAAUCCUAAAAUAUGAUUGUCUCUUAAAUUUCAAAGAGUUCAUCUUGUCACCAGAGGUUCGGAUUUACUCCCCUUACUACAGCCGAUCCCUGACAAGUGCAGUAAAGCAUCGCAGCAGUAGAGCAAGGCAUGAAAAAGAUAAAUCAAAGCCAACCUUAGGAACUUCGGCAGUGCUACCCAGAAAAUUCCGGGCAUACUUUGCAUGCACUGUAUUCAGUCUAGUGCACAUGGCUUUACUGCACUUGUCAGGGAAUUAGCUGUAUUAGGGGGAAAAUUCAAAUUCAGUUUUGGACCAAGACUAAGAAAGGGGCAGCUUCAGUCUUUGUUUCAGUCUUCGUUUCAUUCUGUGUUCCCUUUUCAUUCUGGAAACUGUUUGAAGAGACUGAAUACCACAAGCUACCAUCCUGAUUUGUUGAAAUUGUGGACUGCUGAUUUGAUCAAACUAUUCGCAACUAAAACUUUAAAUUAAUUACGUUUCGAAACUCUUAGUUGUCCAAACUUAUGUGAAAAUACAACAUGGACCACAAGAAAACUUUGUUCUAAAAAAAAAGGGGGGGGGGGGAAACAAUUCUUUAAAAAGACACAAAAACUGAUAUAAGUACAUGUAACCUUCUUGCAAAGGAUUUGGAGUGUUUUCAACUCUGGUCCUUGGCCAAAAUUGUCAGGAAUAAAAUUACUUCUUGGAAAAGUUCCAUAUAUAUUUCUUUGAAAGGUACCGUACUUGAAUAUUCUGCUUUCAGAAUUACUUUUUAGGAGUUUGGAGGGAGUUUUCCUAACUGUUUAAAGCAUUGUGGAAAAUAUCAUUCAAGAAAAACAGUCAAGAUUGGGAGGCCUGCGGGAUUUUGCCUGCCACAGACUGACCCCACUUCUGUUUCCUUCAAAUAUGUCUGAGUUGUGGCAUCAGCCAUGGUCAUAUUUUAUGUUCACCCCUGUCAGCAGUCACUGGCUCACAAUGAUAAGCUGAACCACAGCACCAUUCUGUUCCCCAACUACAUAUAAUGUCCCACAAGUCUUUGCAUGGCAUAGUUACUGGUUUCCGCUUGACCGUGUGACGGUCAUACAUCUUGAUUAUCCCGACAGUUUUUAAGGGGGGGAAAUAAUCCCCCUGUGAAGUUUGCAUCACUGCAUUUGCCAGUCGGCAUCUCCCCUUGUUUUUUCUCACUUUGGAAAUGACAUUUACGACUGCUUCUUUGGAGUGCGAUAACAACAAAACAAGAUGUUUUACACAGGCCGACAAGUUUCGGUUUGUUGCGGAUGUUACUGGAUUUUACCCAAUUUAGGGGAGGAGUUAACCCAUGUCCUUCCGAUGUCUCAAAUUCCACCCUAGUGUGCCAUCAAAGUAACGAGGUGUCUUCCGCCAGACAUUGUAAAUCUUAGUUGAUUUUUGUAUUAGAUAACUUGUAAAGGAGAAUUGAAGAUUAGGCCUAGGCUCUAUAUUUUAUGGCUUUGCUAACCACAGAAAUCUUAUGAUCAAGAUUCUGAACUUAUAGCACUGUAGCAAAUCAAUUUGUCGCUAAUCUUGCAAGCCCAGAAUUCUAAGUCACAGGAUGUACGUGUUUGAUUUGAAUAGGCCAAAUUCCUUGCUAAUCUGUGAAAAACUCUCACCAACAGUGCAGAAACUUUGCCUGUAGCCUAGCAGAGAGCCAUGGAAUAGACUCCGAUACUGGCAGGGGGUCGAAAGACUGGCAACGGGUCGAAAGACUGGCAACACCCUGCAGGGAGUCCCCACAUCAGCUGUGGCUCUGCUCCCACACCAGUCCCACUGGCUACACUUGAACUGCUUGUGUGAGGAGCCGACGCAGUUGACAAUAGCAGCCAACAAUGAGAAAGACAGGGGAGGUAAAAGAGACCGGAUGCUAGGGUGAGAUAAGAGCCUGACUGAUGGUCCUCUGAUGGGAGCCAACACAAUUACACGCCACAAUCAUCCUUUCUUGCGGGAGCUAGUCACCCACAGAGGUAUUGAUCUGCUCUCCUAGAAAAAAAAAGAGAGAAAAAAACAGCAAGAAGUAGAGGAUGGUUCAGCCAAACUCAGUCUUGAAAGAUCAGACUCGGUCUGAUCAUUAAAAUUGCAGACCGACAGUCUCGAUGCAUUUUAGAAUCCCUUAAAAGGACUGACAGCGAUUAACAGGCUUAGCUUGGUAACGUGCUCCCAGAUUCUCGGAGACGGAUUCCGUAGGAGGGGGAAACAAAGAGACAUUGGAAGCGAUUAGCGAGCUGAUGAAUAAUGGAGCAAACACCAGUUCUACCUUCUUGAAUAAUUAAUUAUUUUGGGAGUGGUAGUGCUCAUAACACUGCACAAACAUCCACAAACUGUUUAGCUUGCAGCGUGGUUAGGUAAACAGUUGAUUGAAAAACAGACCGACCCUAAACCUCUUGUUUUUUGUUGUUUUCACGUUUCGGUAUUCUUGCAUUAUUGGUACGGUAUUUUAUUUUAAUAUGGAGUCAGUUAGGCUGCCACCUGUUGAGUAAUUGAAGAUAUGUAGCGGUAUGGUGGAGCCUAAUGGGAGAGGGGGAGGGGUGUGUCG
rnacentral:lncRNA from 1 species